rnacentral:rRNA from 1 species
UACGUAGGUGGCAAGCGUUGUCCGGAUUUACUGGGUGUAAAGGGCGUGCAGCCGGAGAGACAAGUCAGAUGUGAAGUCCACGGGCUCAACUCGUGAACUGCAUUUGAAACUGUUUCCCUUGAGUGUCGGAGAGGUAAUCGGAAUUCCUUGUGUAGCGGUGAAAUGCGUAGAUAUAAGGAAGAACACCAGUGGCGAAGGCGGAUUACUGGACGAUGACUGACGGUAAGGCGGGAAAGCGUGGGGAGCAAACAGG